rnacentral:rRNA from 1 species
AUUGAACGCUGGCGGCAUGCCUUACACAUGCAAGUCGAACGGUAACGCGGGGCAACCUGGCGACGAGUGGCGAACGGGUGAGUAACGCAUCGGAACGUGCCCAGUAGUGGGGGAUAGCCCGGCGAAAAGCCCGGAUUAAUACCGCAUACGCACUGAGGUGGAAAGCAGGGGAUCGCAAGACCUUGCGCUAUACGAGCGGCCGAUGUCAGAUUAGCUAGUUGGUAGGGUAAAGGCCUACCAAGGCGACGAUCUGUAGCGGGUCUGAGAGGAUGAUCCGCCACACUGGGACUGAGACACGGCCCAGACUCCUACGGGAGGCAGCAGUGGGGAAUUUUGGACAAUGGGCGAAAGCCUGAUCCAGCCAUGCCGCGUGAGUGAAGAAGGCCUCGGUUGUAAGACUCUUCGCUGGAGAAUCGCACAGGCGUAAUACUCUGUGUGGAUGACGGUACCGA